UCUGAGAGAGAAGUACCCGGCUGCCUGGGAGCUGAGAAGGGUACCUGAGGUGGAGCAUGCUGGGGAAGGGCAGAGGGAGCUGAGGAGCUCCAGCCUAGUAAAACCCCAGACUGCAGGCCUUGAAAAGGGCCUAUGAAAAGAUGGCUUUACUUCUGAAUUGCCAAAUUGAAAGAAACCAAAAAAUGCUCUUAAGAUGUCACAACAAACAUAUAGACCUUCAGGACUCAAGCUACACCGCCUUCAAAUCCCUCCUCAAGACCCACUGCUGAUGUGAUGCCUACAAGAAAUCAGCCAAUGAUUGACAGUUAGGUCAGAGGCAAAAACAGCGACAGGCCAUCAGGUUGUCAUGUCACCUAGCCUACAUAACUGCAAUCAGAUUAGCAUUGCCUUCAUCCUCUACUUAACUUCCCUCUUAUUGUUUGUUAUACUUAUUCACGGCAACUUGUUUUAGAUUGGAGUGUAAUCUCUUAGGGGCAAGGGUUAUGUCUUCCUACCUGUUUAUCCAGUACCUAGCACAAUCCCUGAUACUGAUGGUGUAUUUGGCACUACUGAAAUGCAAAUAAAAAAUAAACCACUGGUGCUUGGAAACAGACUCAUGGAAUACAGUCUUGCUCUGUGAUACACCCAACCUAGACACCACUGUGAUAUCGCACAAGAAACUUAAAUAUAGGUAGACUAUACAUCAGCACACCUUUUGUAA